ACUCCUACGGGAGGCAGCAGUAGGGAAUCUUCGGCAAUGGGGGCAACCCUGACCGAGCAACGCCGCGUGAGUGAAGAAGGUUUUCGGAUCGUAAAGCUCUGUUGUAAGAGAAGAACGAGUGUGAGAGUGGAAAGUUCACACUGUGACGGUAGCUUACCAGAAAGGGACGGCUAACUACGUGCCAGCAGCCGCGGUAAUAC
rnacentral:rRNA from 1 species